rnacentral:rRNA from 1 species
UUCCUACGGGAGGCAGCAGUGGGGAAUAUUGCACAAUGGGGGAAACCCUGAUGCAGCAACGCCGCGUGAGUGAAGAAGUAUUUCGGUAUGUAAAGCUCUAUCAGCAGGGAAGAAGAUGACGGUACCUGAUUAAGAAGCCCCGGCUAACUACGUGCCAGCAGCCGCGGUAAUACGUAGGGGGCAAGCGUUAUCCGGAUUUACUGGGUGUAAAGGGAGCGCAGACGGCAGUGCAAGUCUGGAGUGAAAGCCCG